rnacentral:rRNA from 1 species
GACGAACGCUGGCGGCGUGCUUAACACAUGCAAGUCGAACGAAGAGCGAUGGAAGCUUGCUUCUAUCAAUCUGAGUGGCGGAUGGGUGAGUAACGCGUAAUCAACCCGCCAUUCAGAGGGGGACAACAGUUGGUAACGACUGCUCAUACCGCAUACGAUCUGACCUCGGCAUCGAGGAUAGAUGAACGGUGGCCUCUAUUUAUAAGCUAUCACUGAAGGAGGGGAUUGCGUCUGAUUAGCUAGUUGGAGGGGUAACGGCCCACCAAGGCGAUGAUCAGUAGCCGGUCUGAGAGGAUGAACGGCCACAUUGAGACUGAGACACGGCCCAGACUCCUACGGGAGGCAGCAGUGGGGAAUCUUCCGCAAUGGACGAGAGUCUGACGGAGCAACGCCGCGUGAGUAAUGACGGCCUUCGGGUUGUAAAGCUCUGUUAAUCGGGACGAAAGGCCUUCUUGCGAAUAGUUAGAAGGAUUGACGGUACCGGAAUAGAAAGCCACGGCUAACUACGUG